rnacentral:rRNA from 1 species
AAAUAGAACUUUGCAGAGAGAGUUAAGAGGGCGUGAACCGUUAAUUGGCAAACGAAUCGGAGCCACGAAGUCGUUUCGUUGUUAAUCGGGCGGAGUUCAGUUAGCGUUGAAAGGCGCUGGCGUAUUCUCGCUGCUCGAUCAACCUUGUAAGCGUACACUGCAACCAGUUAGACCAUCAGCCAUGGGCUGAGUGUCUUGCAGUGAGCAAUCACUGCUUGGCACGCAUUGUAUGUUUGCUCGCGGUAGUAGUAGCGCGGUUGCAUCUCGGUGCUUCUCGUGUUGCUGGCCGCGGUGCGAGUGAACUAUGGCUGAAUACUGACUGGCGAAAUGAAAAUCUUCUUCAAUGAAGUUAGAGAAAGAGCGGUUGUGCCGCAUGCGUAGCUACACGCUCGACUGUCGAGUCUAAGCUUGGCGUCUUUGAAUUCAGACUUGCUUGCUACCAGUGGGGCAACUCCUGGUGCUUGUACAGCUUCUGUCUAAUCGGGCGUCGACUUGGCGCGGCAUCGUUCGCGGCGUGAACCGCUGGGUUGUGCAUGCGAGCUAACUCGCAAUUUGAAUUGGCAGUGAGUAGGUCGGCUUUCCGAACGACCCGUCUUGAAACACGGACCAAGGAGUCUAAUUAGGCAUCGAGUCGAUCGGUCUUGAUAGGCCAGACUGGAGAUCUCUCGAGAACUCCAUUGAAGGCGUAAAGAAAUCAAAUCGUGUGAUCGCUCUGGCAACAACAGCCAUUGCGCGCAACAUGUGCCUGUUCGUAUAGCAAUUGUUAGCAAUAACUUGCUGGGCGGAGCAAAGAGAUGCCCGAUUGGGACCCGAAAGAUGGUGAACUAUGCUUGGGCAAAUUGAAGCCAGAGGAAACUCUGGUGGAGGAUUGUAGCGAUUCUGACGUGCAAAUCGAUCGUCAGACCUGAGUAUAGGGGCGAAAGACUAAUCGAACCAUC